UAAGACCUGUGUGCGCUACACAGUGAGGGCCCUGAAGCGUAAAGUUGGACUCGUGCGUCGAGAUCACUGCAGAAGGCGAAGCGCGCAUGAUACCUAGAACACACACACACACACACACACACACACACACACACACACACACACACACACACACACACACACACACACACACACACACACACACACACACACACACACACACACACACACACACACACUAUUCAGAAUGUUUUGCCAGGUGGAGCAUUUAAAUAAAAAGCAUCUAGGAAUUAGAUCAAUUAAUUAAUUGAUUAAUUAACAAUCACACGCUAGUCCGACUAGCCGCGUGUGGGGUCGAUACGUUAGUCUAAAGGUUUCAUACUAUGAGCCACAAAAGACCGGCUAAUGCAUUCGCACUUUAUGAGUUGUAUUUGUCAAAACGUGAACAAUGGGUUAGUUUUUGCUCAUAUGCAAUAAAAGUCAAAUUUGUUUGCACUAAAAAUAUAUAUAAAUAUUUUCUGGCAAACGUGGGUGAGAGGCUGCAGUUAAAUACAGAACCUCCAGACCCUCUGAAGGACGACAUUGGAGACACAUUCUAAACAUCUGACUGAAACCUAUUUCUGUUGUUCCAUCUGAGAAAGCACACGACAGCCAAACACACGCACUAGACUACAAGCACAGGGUGUGGGUCCGAGGGCCUGCAGGAGAGACCCGAGGGUCUGAUGUGGUCCAAAUCUAUAAUGAGAACAAUCCGAGUUUAGACUUCGUAUUCAUCAUUCUAAUCUAACCAGAGCUAUAUCCAAUCAGAUCAUUUUCCAACAUUCAUAAUAGGCCAGAAAAAGCUUAUGAAGAAUGGCUUGCAACGCCAGGUUUUAUGGCCUAUUCCUGCUUUGGCGCCAACAUCUCUACCCGGUAUGAUGACCCUUUACGCGGAGCCCGAUGGAGAGGUACGGCGACAUGACGUCGUGGAAACUCGUUGGUUUGAGAACUUCAUCCGUCGUCCGAUGGACCUCUGGCACAACGGUUCUUUUUUUUUUUUUUUUUUUACAAGAGGACAAUGAUUAUCUCCAGGAUCAAAGAGGUUCUUCGGAGUAUGGAUGUCUUCCAAGGGCUAAGCCCCGGAUAUUUCAAGAACACCACAAGCGCUUCAAGGCAACGACAGACGACGAUGAUGAUCUUUGGUUUGACGCGACUUACUGGAAUAAUUCAUCUCAUCGUCAUGUUUAUUCAUACGUCGUCACAUUGUAUGUUAAUAAAAGCUCGAACGUUCAACGUUCAGCGAAUUGUACAGCAAUACUACGACGGAGCGGGGAGGUAUGCGCCACAAGGCCAUGGAGUCACAUGAAGAUUUACUGA
rnacentral:lncRNA from 1 species